UCUCCAAACGAAUCUCCUCAACUUCUUGUCGGCGGCAGAGCCCGGAUUCCUCGACGAGCUACUGCCGCUCCAGCGGGCACGUGCUUUCCUCGUGCUCGCCCAAUCCGCUUCCUCUUUGUUGGCAGCAAGAUUGAGGUGCAGUGGAAUUCGACCAGAUGAUCAUCCUAUCAAAACUGAGAUUGAGAGAUUGAGCUUGUGUGCGGGGAAAUUGGAGCGAUUUGGUAAUUGGAACUAAGGAGAAGAUAGAAUCUGCAACAGAUAUACUUAAGGAAAUUCUAAACCCAGUAGUCGCUGAAGCUGAAGAAGUUUCAUGGCCUCCAAGGGAUCCUGAAGCUCUCAUAUUGAUGGAAAAAUAAAUUGGAGAGGAAGCUCUCGGAGGCAGCAGGGAGAGAGGUGGUUCUUUGGUUCAUGGAAGAGAAGGCAGAUGACAUCACGAAGCAGAUAAAUACUUGCAAUGGUUUUUAUUGUGAUAGCUUCAAGCCAAACAAUGAAACGAGUCCUAAGAUGUGGACAGAAAAUUGGACUGGCUGUUUUAAAAGUUGGGAUUCACCAGAUCCUCAUAGGCCCGCAGAGGAUGUAGCUUUUGUUGUUGCUCGAUUUUUCCAAAGAGGAGGAAUUGUGCGUAAUGUUGUGCGAUGGAGCAUACAGAACCU